rnacentral:lncRNA from 1 species
ACGAACCCUCGCCUAAGAUCCGACUCGCGGUUCCAGCUCCGAAAGUUUCCUCCCCCGUCUCGCUCUCUUCCCGCCUGUCUCUCGCUCUCCAACUCACCCCCUUUCUCUACUCCCUGUCUUUCAUUUCCCACCUUUCCUCGUCCCCCUUCGUCCACCCAUCGCUGUGCCCUGCACCACCUCACUCACCAUGCUGUCCAAGUCCUGUGCUCUGUCCUCUUCUCCUCCUGUGAAGCAAGUCCUCCUUGUCUUGGGUCAGGCGGGCAGCAGAGAGAAGAUGGGACAGGAAUUCAGAGCAAGAGAGAGGAGAGCCACCUGCCGUCACCUGGGAGCCUCUCAAUUGUCCAUCAGUGCGGGGGGGCAUCACACGCAAAGGUUACAGUCAUCAGCUUGGAGGCCACUGCUUUGUACCCACAAACUGCAGCAACCAGAGCAGAGGGGACCAAGCGAGUGCAAGUUAUGGUGACACGCAGCCUGCUAGACUUUUAUGAAUGGUUUGAAGAAACCCUGAAGAACACUAGAAGGUCUAUGUGUCCAGAGAGGGUGGUCAGCUCUACAGCACUCUACCGUGUUCGGCUUCGUUGCGUCAAAUAGCUCACUUAUCUUCUUCGCUAUGCACAUGCUCAAACAUACUCACCAACCAAGUAACCAGCACACACACACACAUGCUGAGCAUGGUGAAGCACAUUUGGGAAGGUACAACGGUAUCAGUCCAUCAAGCUGGAAAUGGCCAAGAGAGUCACUGAGACAGCCCUCUGGUAGUGGAGCGAAACCAAGUCCGAGGCUCUGCAGGACACAUCACAUGCUCUCCAUCCCUCUUAUACAGCCUUGUUUCUUUAUAAGUUCCUCCCUUCUUGAUCCUUAUCCCUUUCAAGCCACACCCUCCGUACUGAUCUCCUCCCGGUAAGAUUUAGGGCUGAAACAUCGAGUGCUUAACGCAAGACAGCGAAACUCACAGCCCAGGUGUCACUGCGGCCUUCAAGAUGCAAGCCAGGCUUCACCCAACUCCCCCUCCCAGUAGAUCUUUCUUUUAAAUGUCUUCUUUGUUUUUCAAACCGACAUGGCUAGGAUGUACUUUUGUAGCUCAUUUCUAAAGAGGAAGAAGUAAGAAGCUCUCUUUGCUUCCAUACUGUGUAGAUACACAAGUGCAUUAUGAUAUUCCCGAUCCUGAAUUUCCAUCUUUUCAUAUCUUACAAUACACUUUAUAUGAAACUCAGUGUUCUGCCCUACAGUUUUUGUAUUCAGUUCGAUUCAAUUUAUUUUUAUAGAGAGAGCUCUUCUCACGCAGUGACACAGAGCGCUUUAACACAGGCUUAAGGCAAAAGAAAAACAUCAGAAUAAAAAAAUAAAGAAGACAGUUGACUACA